CCUUUGUUAACGUAAUCAUUUUAUUGAACCAGUUGAACCAGAAAUUGAACCAAUUUCUGUUGAAUAAUUAUCAUGUACAUUCUGUGUGCUAGACAUUUGUAAUCAAAAUUUGUAAUCAAAAUCAUCUCUUCUUUAAGAUGCAGAUUGGGGAAGACAGGAGUUUAAGCAUUUGCAUCUCUUAUGGUGAUGGUACGACAGCAGCAGUUACAAGAAACAUCCAGAGGGCCUGGGAGAGCACACCCAAUGAAAACAUCUCCUACCAUGAGAGACCAGAAUCAAGGUAAUGGAAAUAGACCACGAACUCUCCCACAUUUACUCAACCUCUAUUUGGGGUUCUUAAGGGGAUGCUGGUUAAUGAAAAUCAGGACCAAUCUUAGUGGUAGUUGGCCUGCUAGCAAGAACCCUAGGUUCUUUAGGGAGUCCCCCCAAAACCUGUCCUUACUUUUCUUCCAAAUAUCUCUCUCUUGUCAACAUCCACCAUCUUUCUGGGUAAUUCAUGCCCAUCACAUAUCUGAUCACAGGAUCAUCUGUGUUACUUUUGAUUCUCCUCAAAAUGCAAUCUAGAAAAGCCUAUCCUCUAAGUUGAUAUUUACGGCAUAUAUUUGACAGUAAGUUUAACUACAGGAGUCAGAGAAAGCCUAAAUGUCCUGCCUAAUGUUUCUAUACCUUCUACAUACUUUAUUAUCAUACUUACAACUUUGUAAUUAAAUUGUCUAUGUUUCAACAUGUUCCUUAUCCAGCAGUGGACUUGAAAAUGACAAGAUGCUCAGAAAGGUUCUGUGUUUCACUUACUUGUUUGUCUGUCUCUAAGGACCAAGUAUGUCAGGGACUAUAGAAAGGAUAGAUCCCUCAGUCUGGGAUUAUUUGAUUUCUGAAAACAGAAUAGAGGACUGUAGUGAAUAUCUGUUACCAUCUUGGGCUGCUCAGCAUCUUUUCCAUAUAGAGCUUUCCUGUUCCUUGUAUGAUGGAGCUGAUAAUGACAUAGCUUCACCUUCAGUACUAAAAUACUUGGCAAUUAUGCUAGGCUGUCCAGAGUACUCUAGACCUCUAGAAUCUUUAAUUUAAUCAAAACUGACAAGAUGAUUCAAAACAAGCCAAUCAGAUUUUUUUUUUUUGUGGAAUUGACAUGCAUGUUGAAAUUUAAGGUUGGUACUCAAGUGAUCAGCAUUGUUGAGGAUCAUUAAAGGUUAUCACUGCUUCCACAUUGCAGAGAAAUAUAGCAGGAGGGAAUCGCUGGGUGGCUCAGUGAUUUAGCGCCUGCCUGAAGCCCAGGGCGUGAUCCUGGAGUCCAGGGAUCCAGUCCCACAUCGGGCUCCCUGCAUGGAGCCUGCUUCUCCCUCUGUCUGUGUCUCUGCCCCUCUUUCUCUCUAUGUAUCUCUCAUGAAUAAAUAAAAUAUUUAAAAAAGAGAGAGAGAAAUA
rnacentral:lncRNA from 12 species